rnacentral:lncRNA from 1 species
UCAUGCAGUGAGGAAGAAAAGGAAUACAAAGGAGUCCCUCAAGCCUAUACCCUCUGCAGAAUCCGACCUCUUGCCCAGUCACUACUCGAUGCUCAUAGCACCAAAAUAACUACCAUUUAUCUAGUUCCUGUUGUGUGUCUGGUGCUGUGCUCCUUAGUCUAGAUAAAAAAAUUGUGUUUAGGGCAGCCCGGGUGGCCCAGCGGGUUAGCGCCGCCUUCAGCCCAGGGCCUGAUCCUGGAGACCCAGGAUGGAGUCCCACGACGGGCUCCCCGUGUGCAACCUGCUUCUCCCUCUGCCUGUGUGUGUGUGUGUGUCUCUCUCUCUGUCUCUCAUGUAUAAAUAAAUAAAAUCUUUAAAAAAAGAAUUGUGUUUAAUUCUCACAUCUUUAGGGUAUAGGUGUCGUCAUCCAGCUUUGUGCAGUUUCAGAGCUCACUGAGACCUGGUACACACACCAGGCUGGUGGUACUAAGUUGAUGACAGCUCUUUCUCAGAAAUGUCUUCUGUGUUACUUCAGAGCUGGAGUUGAGGACUUGUUGAUUACCUCCGAUUUAUCAGGAUUACAGCAAAUUAGAUUUAACUGUGACUGGCAUGUGAACUAUCUGAUGUUUGGACAGGGAUGAGGAAUAUUGCUAUGGACACCACGUUUCAUGUUUAGAGAAAUGGAAGUCCCAAAAGAAUAAAGGUAAGCCAGUGACAUACCAUCCUAUAUUACCAGUGAGUCGGCCACGCCUCCACUUCUUCCAUCCCCAGUCUACAUUCCCUCAGAGAUUUGGGCAAGGCAAUGAUAGAAAGUUGUAAUUUUGUGGGAUGCAUACUAGACUGAAAUCAGAAGACCUGGUUAAGAAUCGAGGUAUUGACCAGAUGAGGCAGUACCUUUGAAAGCAUUUGCACCCUACCGAGCACCCGUUGGCACUCAAGUGUUGAUUUGGAAUCUGAAAUUGAGAAGUUAAAGCUUUGAAAGUCAACGUUUACUUUAUUUUAUAUGCAGUGUUUAAUAAUGGGAUAAAAAUAUAUGCUAGACGAGGUCAGGC